UACAGAGCUUUAAUCCACUGAAAUGUUACCCUGAGAGAAAGCAUCAAAAGAGGGCAUCCACUGUAGAGAAGGAUCAGUGAUAUUCUUCACUGAGGUGAUCAAUACAUAAAGAGCAUUAAGUGUGGAGUUGAAAGAAAUCUAAAUUACUAAAUGACCAAGGGGCUUGCAGAGAUUCCCAGAAGCUGUCUUUCAGGUCCCCACUGACUGGAUCCUACGCUGGAAAAAAGAUAAAUUUGGGGGAAAAAAUCCCUUGUGGAGGAGCAGUGAGACCAACAAAUGGAAAUGCCAUCAGGGCCUACGACUUCAUGGAUCUCUUCUCUAAACACAUAACCACCUUAUGGAAACAGGAAAAGUGGAGCAGAGCAGAAAAAUCCCCGCACUCAUGAAAGUGAACCUCCGGAUUUCAGCCAUCAACUUAACUGUAGGAUCUGCAAGCCAAAUAACACCACUCAAAAUUUGAUUCAUGGAAUGAUAUCCUUAUACAACCAUGGAAACAUUUUGACACUGUUUGUGAUGAGUGUGAAAUUCUACAGUUUAUGAGUUUCUACCCCUUUCACCCCACAGUUCCUCUUUACUCUAUCGUUGCCCUACUGUGUCAUGUGUAUUAUAAAAUAGAUAGAAAAAUAAUUGGAAAAUUAAGAAUUUGUCUGUGCACACUAUGUUGGAUGACAUCAAGAAGCAAUUUUCAGUGUAACUGAAUCAUUAUAGCUCUAUUAAUCUCUCUGUGUUCAAGGAUUUUGAAAAUGACAGGUCUUUAAGAAUUUCACAGCCACUUUUACACAUGUAAAUUACAGUUGUUUCUUGGUUUUUUUUACCAGGUUUAAAUAUCACAAACUCUCAAAGUUGCUAUCUCCCUCUGCUACUAGUUCUUCCAGAAAAACAUAAGUAAUUUUUCUUUCAUUUGUGGGUCUGAAAAUUCAACAUGAUAAACUAAUUUGAGAUCUUUGCUGCACUGUAUUUAUAAGCCCAUAUUUAUAUUUUUUACUAUGUGAUGAGACUGUUCAUUUGAUCCAAAUCCCUUUGAAGGCCCUAAGCCAAACUUUUAAGUGUUGAUGAGAACAUUUCCUGAUUGUAGGUAAGGAUCUUGUUUGCUAGGCUCUUUUUGCUGCCAGUUCAAAGACCUGACAAUGGUUCUUCUCCUUUUAAAAUUUUAGCAUGUGUCUACUUUUUAAUUAUCAUAGAAGAAACAGAAGACCCCAAAAUAAAUCAGGUUGUGUACAAUUAAGCCAUUGGGAGGAACUCGAAUUAAACCUUAAUGGGCAGUAAUGGUUUUCCUCAAUAUUUUAAAAAUAAUCAUUGCCCAGACACCAACAUAUGGAACACCUAACUUAUAAAACCUCUCACUUUUCAUCUUCUUAAAAGCUAUUACAGAAGAUGUCUUUCCUCAGAAUACCUAACACCAGUUUUUGACUGAUUGCAUUUAAUAUAUGAGGGGUCAUUUUCAUAUCUAGGACAAGAAAGCUUGGAUGUAAGUAUGAUCUUCAACAAACUAUAUGGAAUAUAUAGAUAUAUGGAAUUUAUUUACAUUAUGGAAGAAUUAUAUAAUAUAUCCAUAGACCUUUAUGCACUGAACCUUUUGUGUGCACGCAGAUACACGCUCUGAGUCUUUAAAAUCAGAGUUGAGCUAGAUGGAGUUGGACACCUUCUGUCAGGAAUUAUGAUGGCUAAGUAAGUUUCCUGGGACAAGACAAAGGGCAGAAGCCACAUGGAACAGAGGGAAUACUUAUUUGGAAAUCAUAAUGUGGAAAUUUACUUGAAGAGCACUUAGAACAAAUACAUCUUCUGAGAAGCUGCAGUGCUCUGGCUUUGCUUAAAUGCAAAAUUUUGCAGGGCAGUAAAGGGACAGAGAAAGAUGUGCUCAGUAAGUGCUGCCUCUUCACCCUGGGCUGAUUUGCCCACAGCCCCUGACACCUCUGAUCUGGUGGUGGGGCUAUUACACAAACAUUUCUUUGCUCCUGCAAAGUGAACAGGCCAGCCUUGCAAACCCCUUAUUCAGCAUCACAGCUGUGACAGCUGCCUUGACCAACUCUUCUCAGCAUGGGCUACUGAGGCACAGGGAGCUGAGCAUGCCUGAAGGGAGUGUUUCUAGGACAGCCUCGUGGUUUCAAGCUUCCUGCAGUGGUAUUGUAACCAAGCCACAUGUUUAAUGUGAGCCCAUCCACCAUAACAGUGGCUUUUCAAAAUUGUUUAUACCUCUGGUUUACACAACAUUCUGCAUCAGUGAGUAUCACCAUUUAUUCAGGCAUUGUGUGGGGAAAAAAAAAGUUUCUUUUCAUGUUUGGUUCUUGCUCAUUUAAUCCUGGUUAUAAAGGACUAUAAUACAGAUCUGAAACCGAUGCUGAAUGGGAGGCCAGCAACCUCUCUGAGAGACGAAGGACUGAAGGUGGUUGUCAUCACUAUUCCAGAGAGAUUCCCAAAGAGUAUUAGUUCAUCUCGUGAAUAUUUGAAGAAUACCAAUGUCCAUCCUAUUGAUCUUUAGUACUACAAAGAAGAUUAAUAAACCAAAGGGAAAAAAAAAGGAAAAUCUGCACAUGCUAUAGGCAUUCAAAGCCAGUUACAUAUAUCUAUCUGGUUAUCGUGGCCCAAGAGAUGAGGAUAUGAACUUAUACCAUGGGGUACAUCUGAAUAAAAUACCUGCUAGUGCAA